CAAUAUCAAAACUCAGAUUUAUUUUUGUUUGCAUACUAAGCUUUAUCAUAAUGGAAUCUGUUUUGAAGAUGGUGUUUAAGUUUGUUGUGUUAGUUGUUGCUAUUGCAGUUGCUCUAGUUGGAAAUGUACAAGGUUUACCACCAUGUUGCCCGAAUCCUAGUCAUGAUCCUAAUCUUGAAUGUCAACCAAUUGUAUGUGAUAAGCUCCCGUGUUGCGAACCUCGUACCAGCCCUCCUUUCAGCAAUACAAAGCAUUGAGAUUUUCGAAAUAUUCUUUCGUAUUAUGAAACUGAUCAAUUUACAAUUGAGAAAAAUUCACAUCGUUUGUAUUCAUUAUAUGAAUAAGAUUGGUUAAGAAGUUAAGGUAUCA